ACGGAGGGUGCAAGCGUUAUUCGGAAUUACUGGGCGUAAAGGGCGUGCAGGCGGGAGAGCAAGUCUGAUGUGAAAGCCCGGGGCUUAACCCCGGAAGGGCCGUGGAAACUGCUUUUCUUGAGUACUGGAGAGGAAGGGAGAAUUCCCGGUGUAGAGGUGAAAUGCGUAGAGAUCGCGAGGAACAUCAGUGGCGAAGGCGCCCCUCAGGACAACAACUGACGCUGAGACGCGAAAGUGUGGGGAGCAAACAG
rnacentral:rRNA from 1 species